AGCCGUCAUUGGAAUGGCAAUGACGAAGAACCAAAUGGGGUUAGCAAG
rnacentral:sRNA from 12 species